rnacentral:rRNA from 1 species
CCCUUAGAUGUUCUGGGCCGCACGCGCGCUACACUGAUGCAUUCAACGAGUCUAAAACCUGGUCUGAUAGGGCUGGGUAAUCUUUUGAAUGUGCAUCGUGAUUGGGAUAGAUGAUUGCAAUUCUUCAUCUUCAACGAGGAAUGCCUAGUAAACGCAAGUCACCAGCUUGCAUUGAUUACGUCCCUGCCCUUUGUACACACCGCCCGUCGCUCCUACCGAUUGGAUGGCUUAGUGAGACCCUCGGACCGAUAGGCUGUCGCCGCGGCAACGUGGCGACCGGCCCGUCGGGAAGAAGGUCAAACUUGACUGUCUAGAGGAAGUAAAAGUCGUAACA